AUGGCAUGUGGAAGUUCCCAGGCUAUGGGAUGAAUUGGAGCCAUAGCUGCAAGCCUACCCCACAGCCAUGGCAAUGCAAAAUCCAAGCUGCAUCUGUGACCUACACCGAAGCUUGCAGCAAUGAAGGAUCCUUAACCCACUGAAUGAGGCCAGGGAUCGAAGCUGUAUCCUUACAGAUACUAGUUGGGUUCUUAACUGCUGAGCCACAACGGGACCUUUGGGACGGUUACUAUUGAAAAAGCAGGAGUUCCCGUCGUGGCGCAGUGGUUAACGAAUCCGACUAGGAACCAUGAGGUUGCGAGUUCGGUCCCUGCCCUUGCUCAGUGGGUUGGGGAUCCGGCGUUGCCGUGAGCUGUGGUGUAGGUCACAGAUGCAGCGCAGAUCCCACAUUUCAGUGGCUGUGGUGUAGGCCCGCAGUUGUAGCUCUGAUUCAACCCCUAGCCUCGGAACCUUUGUAUACCACAGGUGUGGCCUUAAAAAGACCAAAAAACAAAACCAAAACCAAAACCAAAACCAUACACUGGAAUAUUACUCUACCCUAAAAAACGAAUGCAAUUCUGAUAUAUUAUAUAACAUAGAUGAGCCCAGAGACUUUAUGCUAAGUGAAGUAAGCCUGACAAAAAAAGGCAAAUAUUGUAUGGUCCCACUUAUACGAAAUAUCUAGAACAGUCAAAUUCAUAGAGGCAGAAAACAAAAUGGUAGUUGCUGGGGGGAUGGGAAGUUAGUAUUUAAUGAGUAGAGUUCCAGUUUGGGAAGAUGAAAAAGUUCUGGCGAUGGGUGGUGGUGAUGGUUAUACAAUAAUGUGAAAGCAUUUAAUGCCACAAGACUAUAAGGUUAAAGUUACUUUUUAAAAUUAAAAUGGUAAAUUUCAUGUAACGCAUAUUUUACAGUAUAAAAAGAAAAAUCUCCUCGGAUCUCGUUCCUGGGCAAUGGUCUCCCCAUUUCUUCGCACUGUUGGUAAGCGCCCCCAGCACAGAGCCUCUGAGGCUGCUAACAAUGCCCUUCCACGAGACUUGCCACAGAACUGAUCAUUACCGCCUUCCCUGUCUGCCCUCUUCCUUCAGAUCAGACCCUGGAAUCGACAGGUCCCCAGUCAAUGUUGCAGCCUGGCUCAGAUUUGCUUUCCUAUCAACAUUUAACACCAACCACUGUUUUACUUCCUUUGAUUAGACAUGAAAGUCAAGCCUUGGAGUUCCCACUGUGGCACAGUGGGUUAAGGAUCUGGCAUUGUCUCUGGGGUAGCACAGGUUUGAUCCCUGGCCUGGCACAGUGGGUUAAGGAUCCAGCAUUGCUGCAGUGCAAUGUAGGUGGCAUCUGUGGCUCGGAUUUGAUCUCUGGCCCAGGGACUUCAUAUGCUGCAGGUGUGGCUGAGAAAGCAAGCAAGCAAGCAAGCAGGCCAAGCCUCAAAAUAAAUACAUCUUCUUUCUGUUUUUGACUUGGUUGCUGGUUCAGAGCUAAGAUUAAACUGAACCUGGUCCUGUGUUAGGGCACAGUAGAACCCAAAAUGAAUGAACCCUGUUCCUAUAAUUCACAUAUGGUUUUAUCGGGAAAACAGAUGCUUAAAAGCUAAUAAGUUGGAACAAAUAGGAUAUAUGCAGCUUCAUGGGAGUAAAUAACCCUGCCUGUGGGAACAUUUCACAGUAUUGUAUUUGGGAGGGCCCCUGAUUACAUGGAGGGGUUUGCUGGGCAGUAACUAUCCUUAGCCUGGAUCUUCUGAGACAUUAAUCCCUUAACUUUUUAUUUAUCCCUGAUUUAAUGGCACUAGUGUCCUAGAACUGGUGAUGGGAAAGGAAUUUUGGGACUAGACCUCAGGAUAUCUGUAUUCUAGCCCCAGUUCUGGCUCUAAUAGGCAACGUGCCUUGGGCAAAUCAGUGCCAUCUCCCUAAAGAGUGCCACUAACAUCUUUCACCCAGACACUGUACUGUCAAGGCCCCCAUUCUGGCCACCUCGAUUCCCUUCUACUUACUGCAGCCGUUGAGAAUUUAAAAAACAACAGCAAAUAACACAAAUCUGGAGAAACUUGUCAGACACUACUUAAAUCAAAAGAUCAAAGAUAAUGUGGUUUUUUUUUUUUUUUUUUUUUUUUUUUGGUCACACCUGUGGCAUAUGGAGGUUCCCAGGCUAGGGAUCCAAACAGAGCUGUAGCCGCCAGCCUAUGUCACAGCCACAGCAAUGCAGGAUCCAAGCUGAGUCCGUGACUUACACCACAGCUCAUGGCAAUGCCGGAUCCUUAACCCACUGAGCAAGCCGGGGAUCAAACCCGCAUCCUCAUGGAUACUAAUCAGAUUCGAUUCCACUGAGCCAUAACGGGAGCUCCAACGUUAACAUUAUUAAUAAUGGAACAAACUGCCAUGAUAUGUCUCCUGAUACUAUGCACUAAAGAGGAUACAGCAUCUCUUAUGGGAUAUUCCUGCCAAAAAUGUAUAACCUGAAUGUAACCAUGAAGAAACAUCAGACAAGCCCAAGUUAAGGCGCAUGACAACUAAAUGCAAUGUGUGAUCCUGGAUUGGACCCUGGAUCAAGAAGAAAAACUGGUGGAGUUCCUAUCGUGGCUCAGAAUGUGACUAGCAUCCGUGAGGAUGUGGGUUUGAUCCCUGGCCUCGCUCACUGAGUUAAGGAUCCGGAGUUGCCGUGAGCUGUGGUGUAGGUUGCAGACGUGGCUC
ensembl:lncRNA